GACGAACGCUGGCGGCGUGCUUAACACAUGCAAGUCGAACGGAAAGGCCCUUUUCGGGGGGUACUCGAGUGGCGAACGGGUGUGUAACACGCGAGUAACCUGCCCUUGUCUCUGGGAUAACUCCUGGAAACUGGGGCUCAUACCGGAUAGGAGCUCCUGUUCCACGGUGGGGGUUGGGAAGAUUCGGCGGUGGGGGAUGGACUCGCGGCUUAUCAGCUUGUUGGUGGGGUAGUGGCUUACCAAGGGUUUGACGGGUAGCCGGCCUGAGAGGGUGACCGGCCACAUUGGGACUGAGAUACGGCCCAGACUCCUACGGGAGGCAGCAGUGGGGAAUAUUGCACAAUGGGUGGAAGCCUGAUGCAGCAACGCCGUGUGCGGGAUGACGGCCUUCGGGUUGUAAACCGCUUUCGCCUGUGACGAAGCGUGAGUGACGGUAAUGGGUAAAGAAGCACCGGCUAACUACGUG
rnacentral:rRNA from 1 species